AGAGUGGACUGAAAAAAAAAUCAGGUGCUGGAAAUAUUUUUUCUUGUAUUUGUAAGUCUCAAGAAGAGCUUCACCACGAGGAGGCCCGUGUACAGCUUCCUCGUGACUCCUUCCGAGUAUCAUUAGAGCUCUUGUUUGAGACAAAUGGGCGCCAUCAUUUCUUCACCGCUCAGACCUGUAGGAGGAAGACGGCACUGACGAGCUCCUGUGGAAUAGAAACCUCCUGACUUCCAAAUAUGGUGCCUGCGAAGCAAAGUGAUUAUGAAAUCAGGUCAAGAAAAAAAAGAGAAACACAAUAUAAUAAAAAGACAUGUCAAGCGAGGUGGCGUCACUUCCUCGAAGGCCACUGCCGUUGGAGGUGGACUGCAUCCUGAGGGUGGCUACAUCCGCCUGGCUGAGUGCCCGUCCCUUCUCCUUCUGGCAGUUUUCCUCUUGGGAAUUCAUGGAAGUCCAGUGGCAUUGUCUGAUGCUGCCCAUUUUGAGGUGCUGACAUUAUAACAGAGGCUUCUCAGGACACACAGUGAUUUGAUUUCCAAGAUAUCUGAUACUAGAAAGUUUGUGGUGAGAUUCACACAAAGAAUCAAGCUUUGUGAACCGGAAGCCUCACAGUAAACCCAUAUCCUCAUUGUAACAUAACCAGAUCUUUCAUACGUGUUCCCCACGACACAUGGAAUUGUAUGUACAGGAUGGGACAGCACAGCAGACAAUACCCCUGGAGCCGGCUCCUUUUGCUUGUCUAGCUGGACCCUCACUCAUAUACCAGCCUCUUCUAGACCACAAUUUCCCUGGAUUUUACUCCUAAGAAAGGAGGCUGUCUUUGCCAAGCCAUGAGACAUUAAAGAAGAUUACUCAGCUUAGCUGCACUUAGGAUUCAGACAUUCAUUCCAUGCUCUGUUACCUAGAGAGAGGGGGCAAGAUGAGGCAGACUUUCCAUGACAAUAAAGUACAGCAGGCGUGAAAGCUGAUGGGCAGAGAAGAGAUUUGGGCUGUGGACUCACCUCGUGUGGGACAGACGCCACACCUUCCGGUUGUGCCUUUGCUAACGGAGGAGGCAUCGACUAGCUAACUGCUCCCUUGGGAGGGCAGGAUUACCACCCACUGGCCUCAUCUGGGGGUCACGAUAUGUAAGUGGGUGCUUAGAAGAGUCAGCAGGUCUGAUUAAUAUCCUCUAGGCAGUACUUAUGAGCCAUUUUGGGCCCAUCAAAUGGCUAAUAAUAAAAUACAGUGGUGCAAUUUGUAUUUUUACUGCCGGCCAAUUAAGAAGGGGGAGAGAGAGAGUGUGGUAAGUAAAAUGACAUGUCCUUGCAAAGCAGAAACAACUGUCAAAGCAGCAGGAGGGGGGAAAAAGACACAGGGAAGGGAAGCAGCCAGCCACUCAAGGCAGCUAAAAGGGUCAGGCAUCUCAUGUCCUGAUGCCCACCCCCUGCCAGAAAAGUCCCGUUUCCUGCUGGUUUGCAGGGCAGUGGAUAUUUUCAAAGGGAAAUAAUUAUGUGGUAACAUAUGUUCAUCCUGACAGGAAUUGGUGAGUUUCAAAUCAAAUAGUAUUAAAAAAAAAGUCAUUUGAAGAGGAAAUGGUAUAUCUCAGCAUUCUUAUGAGUUCCGUAAGACUUGUGUUCUUGGGUUUGUGAUUUAGCCUGCCUUCCUCUGUUUAUUUUAAAGGCACAGUGGGCAGGGGGAAGCUUUUAAAAAACUUUUAUCAUUUGAUUAUUAUUCUGUACCCCCCAACACUCCCUUGUUCAUUGAGGGUGAGUAUUUGAGUGUGGGUCUGUGAAAACUUGCCCUCUUUGUAAUGUAGUAAUCACUCCAGGAAGUUCUCUGGGCAUCUCCUCACCAGGCUGCUGCUUAAUGUGCUGGUAUUUGCUUUGGGCGCCUGGUGUUGUUGGAGACCAGGAGAAAGAGAG